GCUCCGCGACCUUCGGGACCUGAUCCCAUUCUACCUGUGCAAAACUGGGAAUUUCCUGGAUGCUGCCCAUUCCCUGCUGAUCCCUGUGAACAGCCUGGCCUGCUGCUCUGCCUGCAGGAUCACUCCCUGCCAGUUCAAGAUCUACCUCAAGAUCUUCAGGACAGGCUGUGUUCCCUCUGGGAAUGAGAUGCUGGAGACAGGGCCCUGGCUUACAGCUGGAUCUCCCCUGAGGAACACUGUGCUAAUUAAGCAGGCACUCAAACUGCUCUACAGCAGCGAGGCACUCUACAGGAACCCCAAAUGUUGGAGUUCGUUCAUCAUGAUUUUGGGGAGCAGCAAUUUGCUGGAGAAGAGGGGGCACCUGCUUCCCUUAUCCCUGAAGGAGCCCCCCCUUAGCUUCCAAGAGAAUGUGCUGGCUGCCAGUGCUAACUUCCUGAAGGAUCUCAAGUCUGGAGUUAAUGUCUCUUUACCAUCUGCUAUUUUCACUGGUGAGCUGCACCAUGAGGCUUCUUUCAUCCUGGCAGUGCAAGCAGUGCAGCAGAUGCUUUGUUGUGACCUGCCCCACUUGAAUUCCUUCAUAGAGCUAGUCCUGGCUUUUGGGAAAAACUUCUGGCCUCUGAGGCUGUUGCUGGACCAACUUUCCUAUGAGGAGCACAUCCUGUGUGGCACUGCCAACCUGCUUUUGAGGGAUCUGAGUCGGGAGAAAGCCAUGAUGCUGAGAGUGUGA
rnacentral:lncRNA from 1 species